CCUAAUUUCAGCCGCCUAAGAGAGAGAUCGACAGUAUAUAUCUAUCAAUCCAUCUCCUUAUUUCAAAUAAAACUGAAUUCUUAAUCCUUUACGAGUUACAGAGCCGUUUUUCUUCUAUUCCAAUGGAGAUUUGUCUUCUGUCAAGUAUUGAAUAAUAGUGAAGAAAAACCAUGGGCAAAGCUUACUCUGA